rnacentral:misc_RNA from 1 species
GGCGCCAAUAGAAUUGUCGUUUUGUCAAACGUGGAAUUAAAUAAUUAAUUAAGCAAACCCGCUUUAUUUACUGAAAAUUAGUAUCUAUUUAUUGCGAGUACACUCUAAGCUCCCAUUUUUAAUUCGGACCUUUUUUUUAUUUUACCAUUUUAGAUUCUUAUUUAGAUGUGAUUUUUAAAUAUAAUAAAAUAAGUCAAAAUAUUUAUCAAUAUAGUAAAA